AUACGGAGGGUGCAAGCGUUAUCCGGAAUCAUUGGGUUUAAAGGGUCCGUAGGCGGACUAUUAAGUCAGAGGUGAAAUCCCACAGCUCAACUGUGGAAUUGCCUUUGAUACUGGUAGUCUUGAGUUAUAUGGAAGUAGAUAGAAUGUGUAGUGUAGCGGUGAAAUGCAUAGAUAUUACACAGAAUACCGAUUGCGAAGGCAGUCUACUACGUAUAUACUGACGCUAAGGGACGAAAGCGUGGGGAGCGAACAGGAUUAGAAACCCUUGUAGUCC
rnacentral:rRNA from 1 species